rnacentral:rRNA from 1 species
GGGCCCGCACAAGCAGCGGAGCGUGUGGUUUAAUUCGACGCAACGCGCACCACCUUACCAGGGCUUGACGUCCGCGGAACCCGCCUGAAAGGGCGGGGUGCCUUCGGGAGCCGCGAGACAGGUGCUGCAUGGCUGUCGUCAGCUCGUGUCGUGAGAUGUUGGGUUAAGUCCCGCAACGAGCGCAACCCUCGUCGCUAGUUACCAUGGUGUGUCUAGCGAGACUGCCGGACCAAACCGGAGGAAGGUGGGGAUGAUGUCAAGUCAGCAUGGCCCUGACGCCCUGGGCGACACACACGCUACAAUGGCCGGGACAGUGGGCUGCCAAGCGGUAACGCGGAGCCAAUCCCCCAAACCCGGUCUCAGUUCAGAUUGAGGGCUGCAACUCGCCCUCAUGAAGGCGGAGUUGCUAGUAACCGCGGAUCAGCAUUGCCGCGGUGAAUAUGUUCCCGGGCCUU